UAAACGGAUUAUGUCAUCUGAAAUAAAGAAAAUUUCAUUUUCAUUCAAUCGAUAUUAUGAAAUAAUUAAGCAUUUCGAGUACCAAAAGUAACAAACUUGCUGACCGUAAAACUAGUGAAACUGGAUAUGAACCUUCAGACUAUUGCAUUCCUGUAAAUAGUAUCUGUAUGUAUGUUUCAUAAUGCAAAAGGGGAGGAUAAUGUUGUAACAGGACUUUAUGCUUAUUUUGAAUGAAGGGAGUAAGUAAUUCGUCCGGCACUCUACUUUAAAAACCAGUGCGCAGAUCUUACAACAGAAAGGCGAUUGGACUAUUGCAAGAUACUUGCCGCGACAAGUUUUAGCUACUGAUGGAUUUUCUAAAGAAACACAUGAAUGAUUGGUACUGCCUGCCGAGGAGUCAACGUUCCUUUUUAUUCUGUUUUGUAACAAAUGGCUACAGAAUUUCUGGGGUGAGUAAGCACAUUUCCUUAGGGCUAUGUACAUAUGUACAUAUUUGAAAGUUAGAGCGAUAAGAUUUGUAAGCAACUGCCGAAUGGAUUGAGUGUGCGACAAACACUCUAUGGGACGAAAGUUCGAGACAGGACAAAUUAAAAUCAUACAUCAGACACAAAACAUAUAUUUUGGGAGAUUUCUGGCCAAACAAUUGUUUUAUUUUUUAAGUUCGUUCAUAUAAAAUAAUUUUUGACAAAAAAAAGGGUGUAAAAUCUCGCCGUUAUAUUAAUUAAGUACCGCUAUUUGCCGCAAGCAACAGUAUUAUGUUAAUUAUGGUUUAUGCAACUGAGGUAAAUAAGUUAAAAGCCAAACAAACAAUAGAUUACGAUUUGAUGUAGUAAUUUACAUGAUGUUGACACACGCCUUACAUUGGAUAUAUUAUAUGAAUAACACGCGCACACGCAAAUGUACUAGUUAAAUAUUACAUCUUUUAGCUUCAAAUCAAUUAUGAGACAAGGUUAACGGGCGCUAGCCGUCUUGUGAGAUUAUGGCAUAGGAAAACAUUAACCUAACCUGUUAAUAUAUUAUAUACACAUAUGUAUAUAUGGUAUAUGUAUGCACGAGUUUGCAAUGGUGAUGAUUGGCUAAGUUGUCAUGAUUGGUUGAAAUUUAAAAUUCGAAAUAAUUACUAUGCAAAAAAUGUGAUUUUAACGGUAUGCUUGAUGCAACCAGUUUGAAAAAACAAACCUAGCAUCUUUGCCAAAAUUGAAAAUUCGAAAAAGCAUCACUGUCGCAGCUGUUGUACAAAAACGCGUGAAACUUGCAAAAUUUGAAAAGUAGUUGCAAAAAAAAUUACACCAAAACUAACUGUGCUAGCUAAAGUGUCAUAGUAGUUGAUUUAUCUUAAAUAUAAUUUUAAUAUUAUUGGUUCGUUAUAUUAGUGGAGAUAGUAGAAAGUUUAUGGGAUAUAGUAGAAAGAUUGCGUCAAGUGCACUAUAGUUUUCACUUGUGGACCAAUCCGUUUGACUUCAUCGCUAUUCGCAAAUAAUAAAUUUCUGCUUUUUUUAUGUUUGAAUAUGCAAAUUUUCAAAUGCGCAGUUUUAAGCAUUUCAUGCAUCAGCCAGCAUAAAAUCAGCAGUGCAAACUGCGCAGUGUUUAAAGUAAUGUGUCUAGCGAAUUCAUUAGAACUGAGAAACAUUUCAAAAGACCGCGGUCAUAGCAUGUAUGAAUUAUUGGGUAAGGUAAAGCUGUCAGCGUGGUGUAUACUGUAUUUGCUCACUCCGGACCACAAGCGCAACUAUGAAAUAACUUUAAAGCAGUGUUUAAUGCUGUUUAAAUGCAAUCAGAAGUAGUUUCUGUGUCCGUUAGCGGCCGUCGAUGAAUUCUGUCCAAUGAUAUACACUAUAGGUCAAGGAACACUCAAAACAGGGGACUUCAGCGAGCAAAUCUGAAGAGCGGUUACUAUGUCGUAUUACUGGGCCGACGCCGAAUUACGAUAAAAAACAGCAUAAUUUGGCAAGGAAAAAUGCCAAAAUUGAUGUGCUACGAAAAAGAAUUCGGGAUCACUCAAAUCUAUUGGAACUUCCUAACACCAAAUUGCUAAAUUGCUAAUCGGUUUUCUCGCUGAUGUACAAUAAUUACCAAAAAUGUGGCAGAAAUAAAUUUCUCGUUGGAGUGUCGUCACCUACUACAUCUAAAAGGAGGUUUAAAAUGUUAUGGGAACAACUCGCUUCAAAAAAAUUAAUUUUACU